UGAGAAAUGAGGUGUAGGGGUCUUGC
rnacentral:piRNA from 1 species